GUCCGUGAAAAGUAUGUAGUUGAUGUUUUUUAGGGCUGCCUAUCCGACAGUUUGUGCCUGGACAUUAUUCUACAUAUCUUCUGUGAAGAGCUGAGAACAUUUCUACCCGAAGUGUGUCGAACAGUUUUUCAUGAGGACACGUGACCUCUGGGUCAGAACACAGGUCAGCUAAGACACGCCGAUGAACAACAGAGUGCUGAGUGCCAACUGGUGACGAAGCUGCCAGUUCAUCAAGAUACGAUCUGCUUUUAAGGGCCAGUAUCCCAUGGUCAGGAUGAUCUCUGGCUUUCAUCAAAGACUCAGAGACAAAGGACAAAGAAGCUGACCUAAAAUCUACAUUGAUUGACAUGUUAUGCUGAGCUCACACAGUAACAAUAGGAAGCUUUGUUGUAACAUGGUGGUUUUCAUGGAACCAAAACUUCUGUAAAGGAGACUUUAAAGUAAAGAAUCAACCAGAGAGUUUUAUUGAUUGUCAGGAUCCUAGUGUAUUUCCAUUGUUUUCCCUCCCCUUUGGUUUUUGUCUUGUCUUCCUGUCUUGUGGGUGUGUGUGUCUGUCUGGAGCUGGGCGGAACUGGAGUCACCACUCACCUGCACACCUGCCAGCCAUCAGUAAUCAAGCCAUCUCCACUCCACUCUGUAUGAAAGCCUGGUCCAGUUCACAUCUCGUCUGCUUACCUGUGUGAUUGCUCCUGUCUUGCUGCACUCAGCCUCACCCAGCCUCAUACCACCACGUCCAUACCCACCUGGAUCCUUCUGGACAUUCUCUGGACCCCUCAGACUCCGCAACCCCCACCCCACCCAGCUCCAGCUCCGCCCUUCUCUGUUUACAAUAAAAGACU